rnacentral:lncRNA from 1 species
CUUCCCCUGCUGAACCAUCACUCAGCUGAUGUACCUGCAGGAGAGUGAGGAGAAGAGGAAGUGAAGGUGCAAGCCAGGACAGCCUUGGAACUGGGUUCCAGGCUGGCUCCACGACUGUGCUGUCCCCAGGGAAGGAAGAGUCCUCCCACUGCACUGGCUGCUGGUGACCUGGCAGGGGACAUGGAGCUGCUGGCUGUCACAGCACCUGAGGAAGCAGGGAAGGAUGCAACAGCAUCACAAGCUGAGGUGGAAGGAGCAGAAAAAGCAGCUGCAAUGCCAGAGGCAGAAAGCCUAGUGGGAACAGGUCUGGGCAGGAAGGGGGUCACCCCUGAAGGAGCAGCAACGAUUGUGGUGGGAACAUCAAAAAACCCAGCAGCAGAAAGGGAUGUGGAAGCAUUUUCCAGGGCAGCAGAAAGAAUUGCAGUAUCAGAAGUAGCCAAGGUGUUGCAGUCAGCAGUAGCUGAGCUCAAAGGGAAGAGGAAGAACAUGUGGAUAAAGCCAAGGAAUACCACUCAGCAGGAAGAGGAUUGGAUGAAAGAGGGAGAGGUGAAAUGAAAUGGAGAGGUGAUGUUCUGGGUCAUACCUCCUAAUUGGGGUCUUGGACCAUCACUCUUGGAAUGCAGUAGGGCUGCCAAUCACAUCUCUUUUGUGACUCACCAUACUAUUAAAAAUAAAUAUAUGGCAUAUUCUGCA